CUAAUAUUUUACAAAUCUGUUGUUUUAAUAACGAUUUAACGAUUUUUAUGCAUAAAUCAUGAUGCUUGGAGUUCAGGAUUACCAAAUCUCGUUUUUGCCAUAACGGCGAUUUAGGCGGUUUUGAAAAAACAGCGACGAUAUGUAUGUAUUUUUAUGUAAUUA